ACAGGUGUUAAAGUUGACAGGAAACAGCUGAAAGACACACACAGUGGUGCAAGCUGGGCAGCUGGACACUUUGUGCAUGGAGAAUCUUGAGCAUUUGGUAACAUUUGGCAGCUUAACACAGAAAAAAAUGACUGCUAGCAAAAUCUCAACUGCUGCUAAUUAGCAGCAAUGAACUGUGGGUAGGACAGUGCAUUUUAAUGUGAGAAGAUUUUUACAGUAACCACCACACUAAGAGGCGGGGGGGUAUAGAAAGAAAUGCUCCCUAGCUGACCCUAGUGGCAAUCCAAGCUGCAUAUUGCAAUAAUCCUGUAAAUUACUAUGCUUUCUUAUACAGUAACUUGGAGUUAAUUAGUAAUUUAACAUUCCUCUACACUAUUAAAUGUCUUUUUUGCAUUAUAUUAUGUUGUUUCAUGGGCUUACCUUAACACUAAUGGGGUUUUGUUAUAUUUUCUGAAAACAGUACCAGCAAAAUAAAACUGAACUAGAAAAUUAAUUAGUUAUCUUUUUACCUUUGAUUUACCUGUUAUCAACAAUUAAGUGGUGGUACACAUUUUUAAAGUGGUUUCAGAGGUUACAUUGAGAUGAAUAUACUUCCAGAAUAUAUUAGAGAGGAAAUGUGAAUAAAAAUGAAUAGUGUACAUGCUUCAAGUGACUAUGCCAUAGAUGCAGAAUGCAAUGCAAACAUGUUUCAUAUUUCUGCUCUAAUAGAGUGGGUUAGUAAUGUGGGUGGCAGAAGGGAA
rnacentral:lncRNA from 1 species